rnacentral:rRNA from 1 species
GACGAACGCUGGCGGCGUGCUUAACACAUGCAAGUCGAGCGGUAAGGCCCUUUCGGGGGUACACGAGCGGCGAACGGGUGAGUAACACGUGGGUGACCUGCCCUCAGCUCUGGGAUAAGCCUGGGAAACCGGGUCUAAUACCGGAUAUGACUCCAUGACGCAUGUUGUGGGGUGGAAAGCCUUGUGCGGCUGAGGAUGGGCCCGCGGCCUAUCAGCUUGUUGGUGGGGGAUGGCCUACCAAGGCGACGACGGGUAGCCGGCCUGAGAGGGCGACCGGCCACACUGGGACUGAGACACGGCCCAGACUCCUACGGGAGGCAGCAGGUGGGGAAUCUUGCGCAAUGGGCGAAAGCCUGACGCAGCGACGCCGCGUGA